GCAUAUAAUCAAAAAACGCUGUCAGUCAUGGCUUGCAUCAUUGCGUUCCAAAUUAUGAUAUGAAUAAAAGUAAGUAAAAUUAUCGGAUUCAUAACGUAAAUUGGUGAUAAAGGGCUGGCCUUUAGAUGAGAACUGUUAAAGAAGAGGUGUGGAAUAGUGGUUAGCAUCUAAUGAAGGCAUCUAUCUCCGGCCCAAAAAUAAAAAAUCGAAGAUCUUGCUGUCGUUCCAAGGAACCGAGUAUUAGCUGUCCUCUCUUCAACAUUUGUACAAACAAAGCAGUUAUGGUGUCUACAAACGUUAUUGGAAGGACUCGCACAAAGCCAUAUCAUAAGGAGGG
rnacentral:lncRNA from 1 species